UUGAUUUGAUUUGAUGUGAUUGGAUUCAGUUUCCUCAUGCCUCUCUGUUUGCAUUGCAGGCUCUGUUGGUCGGUCUUCAAUUCUUCAUGCUGCUGCCGCUACUGCUACAUGAGGACCCUCUUCAAUUCUGCAUCCGUUGCGGCCGCCGCAGCUUCCACCUCCAGAAGAGCACCUGCUCCUCGUGCGGUUACCCUGCCGCCCGCAUCCGCAAGUGUGAAGUGCGAAUCCAUGUCCGAAGCUGUGAAGCAUAUCAGCAAAGAGUAGCAUAUUAUGUGUUGUAGUUGUAGGCAGUAGUAGGCAUAUCUGGGUUGUAAUAUACUGUAACGAUUGUAAUAGAUUAAUGCAGUAUUGUUUUGGA